UCUGCAUUUCAAAGAAGCUACCGAGGGCUUCUGACAGCCCCGUUCUGACAACCACACUCGGAGCAGCUUCUGGUGGCUGACUCGGUCACUGUGACUGGCUCUGGUCCGGGCAUGAAACCCAACCUGGGCCGCUGAGGAUUGGCCCUGGGAUGCCAGUAGGAAGAAUCAAUCUGGAAGGCGAAGCUGUUCUUGUUCAUGGCAGUUGGGAAACUGGAAGCACACAUUCCUCGAGCCCCUACUUGGAGAGCCGCCUGAGAAGGAAGGUGGUGUGAGGGACAGACUGGCCCAGAAAUGGACAGGACCAGCUUCCUGCUGGCGUCCAAGUUCCUGGAUCCUGUAACACCUGAAGCGAGAUGCCCCCCUCCAGCUUCCCAGUUAUGUGGGCCAAUAAAUUCCCAAUUAUCUUCAACCGGCUUGACUUGGGGUUUCUCUUGCAUAUGGCAAAGUAGCUCAGAGUGAUGCACACAGUUCUCGGCCUCCUCUGGGGCCUUCAAAGGCAACAGUAACAAGUUAUCUUCAAGCACCUGCCAUGUUUCCACGCUUAUCUCAUUUAAUCACUGACCUUCCCCUGUGGCUGGCUCACUGGAGGUGUCACCACUCGCAGUUGGGGAACCGAGCCCAGCGAGGAGAAGUGACUUGCCCAAAGGCAUGCAGCCGAAGCGGCAAACCGGGGGUUCUAUCCGCAGCUGUUGGCCUCUGGAGUUCUGCUGCCAACGUCCUUGCUCUGGCUGUUGUCGAAAGUGCUGGCUGCUGUCCAAGGGAGGCGUGUAAGAGGCCCGCUUGGAGAAGUGGGGGAGGGGAGGCCCGGGGAGAGCGCGGACAGGCCGGACAUCAGCAGGCAGAGUUUAUUUGGAGGAAACAGACGAGGAAAGGGGCACUUUUGUGCCUGGGCUGAGGAAGCUUUAUCAGAAAGCAUUCAUGCACCCCUGCCUUCUUCCAACGCUGAGGCGCCGUUGGAUUCGCUACGGAAAUGUGCCUGCGGCUCUGCAGGGACCCAGGACGCCAUGGCCCAUUGUCAUCUCUCACCCCCUGGCCCAGUGAUUGGAACACGUGACCCAACUCCAAUGAGACCCAUUCCUGAGACUUUGGUGGAACUCCUGGCAAAGAGAAGCUCUUUGCACACCGCAGUGGGCAUACGGGCCUGAGGGAGAGGCGCUCCCUGGCGCGGUUGGCACGUUUCUGUUGGACAGAGUCUUCCUGGACGUUUGCUAGAAUUCUGGGGAAUAAGGCGUGCACGCUCUCUCUCUCUCUGUCUUCUGGAACCAGCCAACAGGGAAGACAUGAACCUGGAGCUGCCAGACGCAUGGGAAGGGCGCCCGAGGGAGAAGGCAGCAGAAAGGGCUACUGAGAGCGCUGGAGCCUUCCUCCCCGCGGAGAGCUCCCGAGCCCAGCCUUCCGGCUCCUGCCCACCGUGCAGCCAGCCGCCAGGCCUGCCCCUGCCUCCAGGUCUCUGUUCUCCCUCUCCGGGGUGCCUGGAGCUCUCGCACAUCCUCAGGGGCCCCAAGCUCCUGUCACUGGGAUCUCAGAUCAAGUUCCCCUUCUCCGAGCCCUUCCUGUCCAUUCCCUGUAAUCUCGGGCCCUCCCAGUCACCCUAUAUCUUGCUACCCCACUGAAUGGGGAUCAUCAACGUCGACCUUUUCAUGUGUUCAGCGUCUGUCUUUGUGCUCCCCAGACUGGUAGCUGCCCUCCUCACCUCUGUGGCUCUGGGGCCUGGAGCUUGACAUGGAGUCCAUGCCUGGCAAGUAUUGUCAGAAUGAACCAAGUAAGAGAAAGAGCCUAAGACAAGCUGGCCAGCCUCUUAUGUGACAAGUUCCCCUCCGCCACCCCCCGACCCCCGUCCUUGCCAUCCUAGCAAGUGGUACCCGACCAGCCCCUGGCCCGGUGAGGGUGGUGGUGGUGGUGGUGGUGGUGGUGGUGGUGGUGAGCAUUGUCUAAAGGGGAGAGCAAACUGGUGGCCCACCGCAGCGUUUAAAUGCUUUUCUUUUUUUUUAUUGUGGUAAAAAAAAAAAAAAGCACACAUAACAGAAAAUUCAACCAUCUAGGCAUUUCUCAGGGUACAGGUUGAAUUGUGUUAAGUGUAUUCACGUCGCCAUGCAACAGAUCUCUAGAACGUUUUCUUCUUGCAAAACUAAAACUCUGUAUGCAUUAAACAACACCUUCCCAUGUCCCCCCUCCCCCAGGCCCUGGCAGCCACCCGACUGCUUUCUGUUUCUAUGCGUUUGACUACUUUAGGUGCCUCGCAUAAUUGGAAUCGUGCACUGACUUUCUGUGUCUGGUUUAUUUCACUUAGCACGUCCCUAAGGUUCACCCGCGUUGUAGCAGGUGACAUGGUUUCCAUCCUUGCUAAGGCUGAAAGCUAUUCCACUGUGUACGUACACACCAUAUUUUGUGUGCCCACUCAUCCCCUGGGGGACUCCUGGGCUUGCUUCUACCUCUCGGCUGUUGUGAAUGAUGCUGGUAAUGAACACAGGUAUGCAAAUCUCUCUUCCAGACUCCACUGUCCAUUCUUUGGGGUACUUCCCCAAAGUGCCCUUGCUGGAUCACUAUGGUAAUGCUAUUUUUCUUUUCUUUUCUCUCUCUCUCUCUCUCUCUUUUUUUUUUUUUU